UACGGAGGGGGCUAGCGUUGUUCGGAAUUACUGGGCGUAAAGCGCACGUAGGCGGCUUUGUAAGUUAGAGGUGAAAGCCCGGGGCUCAACUCCGGAAUUGCCUUUAAGACUGCAUCGCUAGAAUUGUGGAGAGGUAAGUGGAAUUCCUGGUGUAGCGGUGAAAUGCGCAGAUAUCAGGAAGAACACCCGUGGCGAAGGCGGCUCUCUGGUACGUGACUGACGCUGAGACGCGAAAGCGUGGGGAGCGAACAGG
rnacentral:rRNA from 1 species